UUCGUGGUCGACGAGUUCCAGGACGUCUCGCCGCUGCAGUCGGCGCUGCUCGACCUGUGGCUCGGCGGGCGCGACGAGCUCUGCGUCGUCGGGGACCC
rnacentral:tRNA from 1 species